UUGCGGUUAAAAAGCUCGUAGUUGGAUCUCGGCGGGCAGGGGGUGGUUCGCUCUUCAGCGCUACUGCCCCGCUUUGCCCGUGUGAUUGGCGGAGGUUUCGGGGUGCUCUUCGUUGAGUGACUCGGAGCGCCGUCAGGUUUACUUUGAAAAAAUUAGAGUGCUCAAAGCAGGCUUUUCACGCUUGAAUAUUCGUGCAUGGAAUAAUGGAAUAGGAACUCGUUUCUAUUUUGUUGGUUUUCGGAAAUCGAGUUAAUGAUUAACAGGGACAAUUGGGGGCAUUAGUAUUCAGACGACAGAGGUGAAAUUCUUGGACCGUCUGAAGACUGACUACUGCGAAAGCAUUUGCCAAGAGUGUUUUCACUAAUCAAGAACGAAAGUUAGAGGUUCGAAGGCGAUCAGAUACCGCCCUAGUUCUAACCAUAAACGAUGCCAGCUAGCGAUCUGCCGAGUUUUUUUUGUAAGCUCCGCAAGAAGCUUUCGGGAAACCAAAGCUUUUGGGUUCCGGGGGGAAGUA
rnacentral:rRNA from 1 species